rnacentral:rRNA from 1 species
GAUGAACGCUGGCGGCGUGCUUAACACAUGCAAGUCGAACGGAAAGGCCCAAGCUUGCUUGGGUACUCGAGUGGCGAACGGGUGAGUAACACGUGGGUGAUCUGCCCUGCACUUCGGGAUAAGCCUGGGAAACUGGGUCUAAUACCGGAUAGGACGAUGGUUUGGAUGCCAUUGUGGAAAGUUUUUUCGGUGUGGGAUGAGCUCGCGGCCUAUCAGCUUGUUGGUGGGGUAAUGGCCUACCAAGGCGUCGACGGGUAGCCGGCCUGAGAGGGUGUACGGCCGCAUUGGGACUGGGAUACGGCCCAGCCUCCUACGGGAGGCAGCAGUGGGGAAUCUUGCACAAUGGGCGCAAGCCUGAUGCAGCGACGCCGCGUGGGGGAUGACGGCCUUCGGGUUGUAGACUCCUUUCGCUAGGGACGAAGCGUUUUGUGACGGUACCUGGAGAAGAAGCACCGGCUAACUACGUG